rnacentral:rRNA from 1 species
ACACAGGGGGAUAACAGUUAGAAAUGACUGCUAAUACCGCAUAAGACCACAGCACCGCAUGGUGCAGGGGUAAAAACUCCGGUGGUGUGAGAUGGACCCGCGUCUGAUUAGCUAGUUGGUAAGGUAACGGCUUACCAAGGCGACGAUCAGUAGCCGACCUGAGAGGGUGACCGGCCACAUUGGGACUGAGACACGGCCCAAACUCCUACGGGAGGCAGCAGUGGGGAAUAUUGCACAAUGGGGGAAACCCUGAUGCAGCGACGCCGCGUGAGCGAAGAAGUAUUUCGGUAUGUAAAGCUCUAUCAGCAGGGAGGAAACUGACGGUACCUGACUAAGAAGCACCGGCUAAAUACGUGCCAGCAGCCGCGGUAAUACGUAUGGUGCAAGCGUUAUCCGGAUUUACUGGGUGUAAAGGGAGCGUAGACGGAUAGGCAAGUCUGGAGUGAAAGCCCGGGGCUCAACCCCGGGACUGCUUUGGAAACUGUUUAUCUAGAGUGCUGGAGAGGUAAGUGGAAUUCCUAGUGUAGCGGUGAAAUGCGUAGAUAUUAGGAGGAACACCAGUGGCGAAGGCGGCUUACUGGACAGUAACUGACGUUGAGGCUCGAAAGCGUGGGGAGCAAACAGGAUUAGAUACCCUGGUAGUCCACGCCGUAAACGAUGACUGCUAGGUGUCGGGUGGCAAAGCCAUUCGGUGCCGCAGCUAAC